GUUAGAGCCAUAUUUUGGAUUUCCAAAUGAAUCUUUGGCUCAAAUUUUCAAAAAUGUGUGUUAUUAGAUUAAAAAGCUAUAUAUCAAAAUUUUAUGGUAUUUGAGUACUUAAUUUAUAAGAUAUGAAGAAAUUUACACACAGAUGUAUGUAAAUAAGGGUUUGAAGCUACUGUUAGGAUUUUGGUGAUAUCUCAAGAUCCAUAAUGAAUUUGCAAUUAAAAUUUGUAAUUGUAGUUGUUAAAAGAACAUCAGUACUUUUUGUAAAUUUUUGAUAUGUUUGGAUAGUCUGAUCUUGAUAUGUGAAUUGCUGAAGUUUGGAAAAAAUUCACCUUAAAGAUAUACAAGGUUUUAUAAUAUUUUUAUCAUAUUUUUAGUGAUCAUUGGUAUUUAGGACUUAUGUUUUGAUGUAAUUGUCUCUAUAGGGACAAU
rnacentral:lncRNA from 1 species